ACAGAGUUGGCAGAAUUAUGUGAAUAAUUUAGGUUUAUUUUAUAAGAUUAUUAAUCUUACUUUGUA
rnacentral:tRNA from 1 species